rnacentral:lncRNA from 10 species
CGCCCCUGAAGGCGGGUUCCGGUGGCAGCGCCGGGGUCUCAGACCCUGAGGAGACUGAGCCCAGCGCCAGGCGACCGGUCCCCGCCGCCGCCGCCCCUGCGCGGGAGAUCCCCCCUGCUUAGUCCGCGCCCGAGCCCCCGUCCGUGGGAACAGACAAGGGGCCUCCGCAGCGCCUCACAACCCCCGACCAGGUCCAGCGGCGGGGGACUCGGCCGUGGAGGGCGCUGUUCGGUCUGGAUGGCUCCCCCCAUCAGCGGGAGGCUACACCCCCCACCAGCAGGGGCAAGAGGAGCAGCGGGAUGGGAGCAGGCCAACGUCCUGCGGCCUGGUUGAGCUCGCACUGACAAUCGCAGGCCCAGUAACCCGCAGGUCACCGCGCUCCCCACCUGCGUUGCUGACGGUGACAUCGUCAGGGGAGGGGGGCGCGCCUUCCCAGAGGCUCAGGUCGCGAGGGUAGCCGGGGUCCGGGCGCGCCGCCGCCUCGUCGUAGCGCCAGUACUGCCGGCCGCGGACCAGGUAGGUCUUCCCGUUCUGUGGCCACGAGAACACGGCGUCCACCUCCUCUCCCGGGGGCAGCCCCAGCUCCGUGAGCGGCCCGCUAAAAGUGCCAGGGCCUUGCCUGGUGGCUCAGACCUGUAAUGCCAGCACAUUGGGAGGCUGACACCGGAGAAUCACCUGAGCCAGGAGAUUGAGCCCAGCCUGGGCAAUAUAGUGAGACUCCAUCUCUACAAAAUAAUAAAAUAAAUUACUAGCAAGGCGUGGUGGCAUGUGCCUGUGGUCCCAGCUACCAGGGAGGCUGAGGUGGGAGGAUCGCUUGAGCCCAGUAUUUUGAGGCUGCAGUGAGCCAUGAUCACACCACUGCACUGCGGCCCAGGCAACAAAGCAAGACCCUGUCUCAAAGAAGAAAAAAGUUCCGCUUCCAGGGUAAGCCCACAGCCCCAGUGGGUCACUGGAAGUGGGCAGGAAACCAACAUAUAUGAGGCCAAGUGAAAUGACUCACCUUUGAAGAAGAAAGUUUCCCCUCGGAUGUUGGCGAUGGCGUCAAAAUUGCCCUCACAUCGAUCAGGGAUGGGGAAGGAUGGGCUGGGGAGGAAAGGAGAGGUGAGUAGAGAGGGGGGUUUGUUUUCUCCAAGGCAGGGACCCCCACCAUCCCCAUCUCAGAGGACACUGAGGCUGGGCAGCUGGUCACCCAAGGUCUCCGAGUUGGUGGGGGACUCACCUGUGUGUGGGCGAGGCCGGGGGCUGGGGCGGAGGAGCCAGGGGUUUCCUUGUGGGCUUGUCAUAUGGGGUUUGGGGCGCCUUCCCUGUGAGGAAAGAGUCAGGCAGGUGUGCGUCCCCUGGCCCUGCUGCAGAGGACACUGGAUGGGGCAAUGAUGGUUUCGCGGCAGGUCCCUCUCCCC